CGGGAAGUAGCUCAGCUUGGUAGACCCCUUGGUUUGGGACCAAGGGGUCGCAGGUUCGAAUCCUGUCUUCCCGA
rnacentral:tRNA from 1 species